rnacentral:lncRNA from 1 species
CCUGACAUGGAGAAAGUGCUUAAUCAUGUUAGCACUCGCCAUCCUUGCUAUGAGAUGAAAGAAACCAGGGACUAUGUCAUAUUCAUUGCUGAAUAUCCAGAUCCUCAAACAAAGCUUGACAUUUGGCAGGUACAGUAAUGCUUGAUGAAUAAAUGACUAACAAGGCCCUUGCCCCCAAGAAGUUGAAUCUUCCCAGGAAAUAGAAGACAUAAACUGCCUAUGCUACUCACAGUAGGAGACAGCAGAGGGUUAAAAGCCAUCCUGCCAGUCCCCAGGCCCCAGAGGCAGACAGUCCCUUUGAUCCCUCAGUUUCAUCUAUCCAGGAUGCUUUCAAGAGAGGAAAACAGGAAGUAUCCCUGAUAGCCCAGCUUGCUCUGUUGUUGUUUUUUUUUAUUUUAUUUUAAUGAAUGGGGGGGUUGCAGUGGGAGGAGAAUGGUCCUUUGGGUCACAUUUUGCCAGGAAAUCACUCUCCUUCCUUUCAAAUGCUGGAGCUUCCAAAGGGGCAGAUAAAUAGUGGUAUGCUUGAUACAGAGAGAUAGAUCUGAUCCAAAAAUGGCAAGGCUGACAGGUUAGGGUCCUUAGUGACUCAGUCCAUGCAGCCCUUUGUAUAUUCACUCACUCACUGUUGACUAAGUGCCUUGGGCUGGACCCUGAAAUUACGGCUCAGUAUCAAGUGUCCACGACUUGACCAAAAGGACAAAGGACAGUGAGCUCAGAGAAGAUGGACGGAACACAGAAAAGUGAGGCUAUUCCAAAGGAGAGAGAGAGCAGCUGGUAUAAGAAAGCAGUCAUAGGAAUGAAAAUGGAGGAGAACACCAUGAAACACCCAGAGAAGAGGGUAAGGACAAGAAAUCGGGCACACGGAAGAAACUGCCAGAGGAGGCCGGUAGCUCCCAGGCGCCUGCCUGGUGUGGCCAGUCCCUGCAGGGCCCCUAGGAGCUGGCAGCGCGACAGGAUAAAUCAGGCCAGCCAUCGCACCUUACAUGGCCGUCCCCAAGGCUGCCCGGAAUCCCUGGGAUUACGCAGACUUGCGGAAGAUUUGGAGCAAGUGCACAAUCACCUGCCGCCCCCACAAGUGUGCCCGGGCUUCUGCAACCCCCGUCUUGUGACCGAGGAAUUUUUAAAUGGAAGCUCUGAGCUCACGGAGAAGAAAAUGUCUCCCUGA